UACGUAGGUGGCAAGCGUUGUCCGGAUUUACUGGGCGUAAAGAGCGCGCAGGCGGUCGUUCAAGUCGCGUGUGAAAGCCCAUGGCUCAACCAUGGAAGUGCACCCGAAACUGCGUCGCUAGAGUCUCGGAGAGGAAGGUGGAAUGCUUGGUGUAGAGGUGAAAUUCGUAGAUAUUGGGAAGAACACCGAUGGCGAAGGCAGCCAUCUGGACCGACACUGACGCUGAGGCGCGAAAGCGUGGGGAGCAAACAGG
rnacentral:rRNA from 1 species